GUCAGUCAGUCAGUCAGUCAGCCAUCCAGUCAGUCAGUCAGACAGCAUCAGUGGAAUAAUCAGUCAUAUCAGAUAUAACCUCAUAAGACUCAGGUUACCAAGCUUGUCAUAUCAGAUAUAACCUCAUAAGACUCAGGUUACCAAGCUUGUCAUAUCAGAUAUAACCUCAUAAGACUCAGGUUACCAAGCUUGUCAUAUCAGAUAUAACCUCAUAAGACUCAGGUUACCAAGCUUGUCAUAUCAGAUAUAACCUCAUAAGACUCAGGUUACCAAGCUUGUCAUUUCAGAUAUAACCUCAUAAGACUCAGGUUACCAAGCUUGUCAUAUCAGAUAUAACCUCAUAAGACUCAGGUUACCAAGCUUGUCAUAUCAGAUAUAACCUCAUACGACUCAGGUUACCAAGCUUGUCAUAUCAGAUAUAACCUCAUAAGACUCAGGUUACCAAGCUUGUCAUAUCAGAUAUAACCUCAUAAGCAGACUUUGCACAAGCUAGCUAGCUGAGAAGUCCACCAGGAGAGACAUCCUGGAUCAGCUGCCAGUAGAACGUAUCCCAGUGGGUUGGUAGGUAGAGACCAGACUAACGGACCAGGGGGAACCCGCUGUAUGGACCCGGUACACAACAACGUGGGUUGGUAGGUAGAGACCAGACUAACGGACCACGUAGAACCCGCUGUAUGGACCCGGUACACAACAACGUGGGUUGGUAGGUAGAGACCAGACUAACGGACCAGGGGGAACCCGCUGUAUGGACCCGGUACACAACAACGUGGGUUGGUAGGUAGAGACCAGACUAACGGACCAGGGGGAACCCGCUGUAUGGACCCGGUACACAACAACGUGGGUUGGUAGGUAGAGACCAGACUAACGGACCAGGGGGAACCCGCUGUAUGGACCCGGUACACAACAACGUGGGUUGGUAGGUAGAGACCAGACUAACGAACCAGGGGGAACCCGCUGUAUGGACCCGGUACACAACAACGUGGGUUGGUAGGUAGAGACCAGACUAACGAACCAGGGGGAACCCGCUGUAUGGACCCGGUACACAACAACGUGGGUUGGUAGGUAGAGACCAGACUAACGAACCAGGGGGAACCCGCUGUAUGGACCCGGUACACAACAACGUGGGUUGGUAGGUAGAGACCAGACUAACGGACCAGGGGGAACCCGCUGUAUGGACCCGGUACACAACAACGUGGGUUGGUAGGUAGAGACCAGACUAACGGACCAGGGGGAACCCGCUGUAUGGACCCGGUACACAACAACGUGGGUUGGUAGGUAGAGACCAGACUAACGGACCAGGGGGAACCCGCUGUAUGGACCAGACUAACGGACCACGUAGAACCCGCUGUAUGGACCAGACUAACGGACCACGUAGAACCCGCUGUAUGGACCAGACUAACGGACCACGUAGAACCCGCUGUAUGGACCAGACUAACGGACCACGUAGAACCCGCUGUAUGGACCAGACUAACGGACCACGUAGAACACGCUGUAUGGACCAGACUAACGGACCAUAUAGAACCCGCUGAUAGUCAAAUAGGACAGACCAAACUCUGCCUGGUCCGGGCCCUGCUGACCGGUCAGACCAAACUCUGCCUGGUCCGGGCCCUGCUGACCGGUCAGACCAAACUCUGCCUGGUCCGGGCCCUGCUGACACAACGGAAGAACCGUUCAGACCAAACUCUGCCUGGUCCGGGCCCUGCUGACCGUUCAGACCAAACUCUGCCUGGUCCGGGCCCUGCUGACCGUUCAGACCAAACUCUGCCUGGUCCGGGCCCUGCUGACACAACGGAAGAACCGUGUCUGGUCAGGAACACAUGUCAAAGCACCAUCAGCAUUAUGAAGAACAAAGUAUGUUGUUGGUUAGAGAACAGUUCUACUCUUGACCUCUGACCUCUAUGUUCCUGUUGCACUGUGUGCUCUAUGAGAGGAUAAAACCCAGCCUUUGAAUUGCUUCCUGUCAAAUACGUACAUCAAUCAUAUCAAUGAAACUAUCUGACCUUUUAAAAUGAAAUAAAACGAAUGAAUGGAAAGUAAGAAGGUCAAGAUGAUGUUGUUGUUUUGUACUGAGCCUUUUGCACAUGAUGUCUGUUGCUGCUGCAUAGGGAGGGGUUUCAGACAGUACAUUCAUCAGGUGCUGCCAACUGGAGCACCAACAGCCUGAGAGAAGACGUUACCACCAAGAUGUUUAAACAGGAACCAGAAUAUACACCGGGGCGGUUUGAUCUAGUGCUCUGACCUUUCCACCAGGGUUCAGUUCAACACCAUUUCAGUUCAGAAAGUAAAACUAAAUUCUAAAUGUUAAAUCAUUAAAAAAAAAAAAAAAGCUUAAAGAGAAUUGAAAUGUGGAAUUUCAGUGUACUUCCUGAAUUGACAGGAAUCAAAAAUGGAAUUGACCCCAAUCUUGGUUUUGACCUGUAGAAAUAAAUACCCCUGUUAUGCACAAACAGACCAUGAGAAUGUAUCUUACAGAGAGAGAGAGAGAGAGGGCAC